AUACGGAGGGUGCAAGCGUUAAUCGGAAUUACUGGGCGUAAAGAGUACGUAGGUGGUUUAUUAAGUCAGAUGUGAAAGCCCCGGGCUCAACCUGGGAACUGCAUUUGAAACUAGUAAACUAGAGUAUGGUAGAGGGGGGUAGAAUUUCUAGUGUAGCGGUGAAAUGCGUAGAUAUUAGAAGGAAUACCAGUGGCGAAGGCGGCCCCCUGGACCAAUACUGACACUGAGGUACGAAAGCGUGGGGAGCAAACAGGAUUAGAAACCCUAGUAGUCC
rnacentral:rRNA from 1 species